rnacentral:rRNA from 1 species
UUAAGCCAUGCAAGUCGAACGAGUUUAGGCUCGUGGCGUACGGCCCAGUAACACGUGGAUAACCUACCCUUAGGACCGGGAUAACCUUGGGAAACUGAGGAUAAUACUGGAUAGGCAAUUAUUUCUGCAAUGGUUUUUUGUUUAAAUGUUUUUUCGCCUAAGGAUGGGUCUGCGGCCGAUUAGGUAGUUGGUUAGGUAAAGGCUUACCAAGCCGUUGAUCGGUACGGGUUGUGAGGGCAAGAGCCCGGAGAUGGAACCUGAGACAAGGUUCCAGGCCCUACGGGGUGCAGCAGGCGCGAAACCUCCGCAAUGUGAGAAAUCGCGACGGGGGGAUCCCAAGUGCCAUUCUUAACGGGAUGGCUUUUCAUUAGUGUAAAGAGCUUUUGGAAUAAGGGCUGGGCAAGACCGGUGCCAGCCGCCGCGGUAA